UACUUUGCACAGUGGCAGUAUUGUAGCCAAUGAUGUUUAUCUGAGGCGCGAUUAUUGCUAACUGAAAACAAAACAAACAAACA
ensembl:snRNA U4 U4 spliceosomal RNA